GAUGGUCAAAACUGCCACUUUUUAUUUCGAAUACAUUGCAACCGUUGUAUGUGUACACCUAUAGUAAAUAGUGCUUUUUCUACUCUACGAAUUAUACAUUAGAAGAUUGGGGAUAUAUAUGCUACAAAAACCGCAGUAAGAAAAAAACAGACUGUAUGCCACUGCAACAGAUGUAGAGAUAGGGAAGGACGGGUUCCGUUUUUCAAAGACCGUGAAGGUGAAGGGAAAAAAGGGAAGAAAGAAAAAAAGCAAGGAGGUAACCCAAGCCACUGAAGCCAGUGACCCGGACAGUGAUCAGACCCUACAGUUCGAUUGUUACUCAGGAAUUUACAUAGACAAAGAAAUAUGCUAGCGAUUCUUUUUAAUUCUAAAAAGUGUUUAAAUGUAUUGUAAAUUUUUACUAAGAAAAAAUAAAAUCUGUAUACUAUGUUUUCGUUGCAUAGAAUAUUUGAACUCCUGCAUCUUAAUAGCCAAACAGCAAACAGGAAUUAAUUGAACAAGAGUGUUGAAUUUAAAUUGGGAUUACAUUGAAUAAGUGCCGACAUGCUACGUUUAGCCAUUGAAAGUUUGAUCGUUGUCACUACGUUAGCCCUCACCUGUUUACUAGGAUGGACCAACGUUGACAGAGGACGUUGGGCCGAUGUAAUUUUCCUCGUAAUCUUUAC